AUUGCUUAGUAACGAUGGCGCAGGAGAAGGCGGCAAAUGCAUAACAUUACUCUCUGCACUUUUAUGUAUUUACGUUUUUGAACCAUUCGUUUUGUUUACAAAGCUUUGGUACAUAACGGCACUUGCGUCUGUCUUACGAAUGUACUGCAAAUACUCUAAAGAACGCCUAAGGUGAACAGAAAUGAGAUAUGCAGCUCUCUGCUUACAGUGUGUCAGUCACGCUCGUCAGAAAAUUGAGUGAAACACACACACAAACACACAUUUUCAUCAAAUAAUACGUCAUUAAUAGCGGUUCACUUCUGCGAUUUGGUACGAUUGCGUUCACAUCAGCAGCGAACCGUUCCAGAGUACGUGGGUGCGUGGCCAAGGAAGUCAACACACCUUUAGUAGUAGUGCAGGUUAUUGAUUGAAGUGUGUAUGUGAUGAUUUUUUAUUUGUUUUCUAUAGAGUUUCCAGUCGUUCUCAGCACCUCCUGAAUCUACAGACAUAAUUGACAAUGCCUUCAAUUCUGUCUUCUCUUUUGAUGGCAUGAGAGAAUCUCUCUGUCAGCUGAAAGAAAAAAUUGAGGAUUUCUGCAAAGAGGCGUUUAAAAAUAUCUCUGACAAAGUCACUUUCACCAACAUUAUUCCCAGGACCAGGAUUGACUUCCUACAAUAAGGCUGCACAAUGGGUGGAACCCAUAUGGUCUCAUGUAUAACAGCCCCGAAGUUAUCACGUUGCGGUGGAAGCAAUGAGACCCAGCAGCCUCUGAAAUUGGUUGACAGGGAUCUCCUGACCUAGCUUGACUUAAUGCAUUCAGUAACUAUGGACUAGAGCCAAGCAGGAGACAAGUGUGUGGAGAUUGAGUCCCACAUCACCCAGAGAAAAUUGUUCUCUGACUCAGAGAGAGAACAAUCUUUUUUGUUGUUCAGUCUUAAUCCCAAGCACUUUAGAUGAGUGAGAACAACAUCUUGAUGUUGAAAUGUUAACUUUCGUGACAGGGCUAAUAUGAGCCAGUAAUCAAUUUAAUUGAGUACUACAAGGAUGUCCUGGAGUCAUAAUGGAACCAGUGCUGCAGCCUUGCACUUCAUAAAAGUGCGGGGUGACAAGGCCUGGCCAAAAGGGAGAACUGAAUACUGGUAAGCUUUGUCCCUGAAAGCAAACCUGAGAAACUUACUGUGUUGUCUAGGGGUGACCCCGAAUAGUCGACGAUUCGAUGCUUCAAUAGGAGGAGCCUGAUUCGACUACCAAUCUCACAGUCAAAUAUUCCAAGAGGUGUUAUGAUCAUGCCAUUUUGCCUAUAUGGAGAUGCUCAGUGUCUAAUUUCACAUAGAACUACCGGUUCUCUCCGAAUAAAUUAAUAGAAAGCCUAUUAAAAUAAUGCUGU
ensembl:lncRNA